rnacentral:rRNA from 1 species
UACGAAGGGGGCUAGCGUUGUUCGGAAUUACUGGGCGUAAAGGGCGCGUAGGCGGCCCUCUAAGUCGAACGUGAAAUCCCUGGGCUCAACCCAGGAACUGCGUCCGAGACUGGGGGGCUAGAAUCCGGGAGAGGGAUGUGGAAUUCCAGGUGUAGCGGUGAAAUGCGUAGAUAUCGGGAGGAACACCAGUGGCGAAGGCGACUACCUGGCCUGUUCUUGACGCUGAGGCGCGAAAGCUAGGGGAGCAAACGGG